CGGACGGGUGAGUAAUGUCUGGGAAACUGCCUGAUGGAGGGGGAUAACUACUGGAAACGGUAGCUAAUACCGCAUAACGUCGCAAGACCAAAGAGGGGGACCUCCGGGCCUCUUGCCAUCGGAUGUGCCCAGAUGGGAUUAGCUAGUAGGUGGGGUAACGGCUCACCUAGGCGACGAUCCCUAGCUGGUCUGAGAGGAUGACCAGCCACACUGGAACUGAGACACGGUCCAG
rnacentral:rRNA from 1 species